AUACGUAGGGAGCGAGCGUUGUCCGGAAUUACUGGGUGUAAAGGGAGCGUAGGCGGGACUGCAAGUCAGAUGUGAAAUACCGGGGCUUAACCCCGGAGCUGCAUUUGAAACUGUGGUUCUUGAGUGAAGUAGAGGCAAGCGGAAUUCCUGGUGUAGCGGUGAAAUGCGUAGAUAUCAGGAGGAACACCGGUGGCGAAGGCGGCUUGCUGGGCUUUUACUGACGCUGAAGCUCGAAAGCGUGGGUAGCAAACAGGAUUAGAUACCCUGGUAGUCCACGCUGUAAACGAUGAUUACUAGGUGUGGGGGGACUGACCCCUUCCGUGCCGCAGGUAACACAAUAAGUAAUCCACCUGGGGAGUACGGCCGCAAGGUGGAAACUCAAAUGAAUUGACGGGG
rnacentral:rRNA from 1 species